GAUGAACGCUAGCGGCAGGCCUAAUACAUGCAAGCCGAACGGCAAGUUUGAUAGCAAUAUUGGACCUAGAGUGGCGCAAGGGUGCGUAACACGUAUGCAACCUGCCCGCGACAGGAGGAUAGCUCCCCGAAAGGGGAAUUAACCCUCCAUAACACCAUGAGAAGGCAUCUGAUUAUGGUUAAACCGCACGGGGUCGCGGAUGGGCAUGCGGUUGAUUAGCUAGUUGGCGGGGUAAAGGACCACCACGGCGGGGAUCAAUAGGGGUUCUGAGAGGAAGGUCCCCGGCACUGGCACUGAGUUACGGGCCAGACUCCUACGGGAGGCAGCAGUAGGGAAUAUUGGGCAAUGGUCGCAAGACUGAUCCAGCCAGGCCGCGUGCAGGAAGAAGGCCUUCUGGGUCGUAAUCUGCUUUUUCCUGUGGAUAAAAUACCCGUGCGCGGGGAAUUGAAGGUAACAGGAGAAUAAGCCACGGCUAACUACGUG
rnacentral:rRNA from 1 species